UACGUAGGGGGCUAGCGUUGUCCGGAAUCAUUGGGCGUAAAGCGCGUGUAGGCGGUUCGGUAAGUCCGCUGUGAAAGUCGGGGGCUCAACCCUCGGAUGCCGGUGGAUACUGUCGGACUAGAGUACGGAAGAGGCGAGUGGAAUUCCUGGUGUAGCGGUGAAAUGCGCAGAUAUCAGGAGGAACACCGAUUGCGAAGGCAGCGUCGCUGGGACGUUACUGACGCUGAGACGCGAAAGCGUGGGGAGCAAACAGG
rnacentral:rRNA from 1 species